UACGAAGGGGGGCGAGCGUUGUUCGGAAUUACUGGGCGUAAAGGGCGCGUAGGCGGCGACUCUAGUCAGAUGUGAAAGUCCUGGGCUUAACCUGGGGACUGCAUUUGAUACUGGGUUGCUUGAAUUCGGGAGAGGAUAGCGGAAUUCCCAGCGUAGAGGUGAAAUUCGUAGAUAUUGGGAAGAACACCGGUGGCGAAGGCGGCUAUCUGGACCGACAUUGACGCUGAGGCGCGAAAGCGUGGGGAGCAAACAGG
rnacentral:rRNA from 1 species